rnacentral:rRNA from 1 species
AUUGAACGCUGGCGGCAUGCUUUACACAUGCAAGUCGAACGGUAACAGGCCUUCGGGUGCUGACGAGUGGCGAACGGGUGAGUAAUGCAUCGGAACGUGCCCAAUCGUGGGGGAUAACGUAGCGAAAGUUACGCUAAUACCGCAUAAGCCCUGAGGGGGAAAGUGGGGGACCGCAAGGCCUCACGCGAAUGGAGCGGCCGAUGUCAGAUUAGCUAGUUGGUGGGGUAAAGCCCACCAAGGCGACGAUCUGUAGCGGGUCUGAGAGGAUGAUCCGCCACACUGGGACUGAGACACGGCCCAGACUCCUACGGGAGGCAGCAGUGGGGAAUUUUGGACAAUGGGCGCAAGCCUGAUCCAGCCAUGCCGCGUGCGGGAAGAAGGCCUCGG